AGGCUACGACGGGUAGCCGGCCUGAGAGGGCGUCCGGCCACACUGGGACUGAGACACGGCCCAGACUCCUACGGGAGGCAGCAGUGGGGAAUAUUGCGCAAUGGGCGGAAGCCUGACGCAGCGACGCCGCGUGGGGGAUGACGGCCUUCGGGUUGUAAACCUCUUUCGACUUCGACGAAGCCUUUGGGUGACGGUAGGGGUGGAAGAAGCACCGGCCAACUACGUGCCAGCAGCCGCGGUAAUACGUAGGGUGCGAGCGUUGUCCGGAAUUAUUGGGCGUAAAGAGCUCGUAGGCGGUGUGUCGCGUCGGCCGUGAAAACCUGCAGCUUAACUGUGGGCGUGCGGUCGAUACGGGCAUCACUGGAGUUCGGCAGGGGAGACUGGAAUUCCUGGUGUAGCGGUGAAAUGCGCAGAUAUCAGGAGGAACACCGGUGGCGAAGGCGGGUCUCUGGGCCGAUACUGACGCUGAGGAGCGAAAGCGUGGGGAGCGAACAGGAUUAGAUACCCUGGUAGUCCACGCUGUAAACGGUGGGCACUAGGUGUGGGGGCCAUUCCA
rnacentral:rRNA from 1 species